CUCCAUCCCUCGUUGCUGGUCUCGGAAGGUGUCUGGUAUGCACCCGUUUUUCGGACUCGUUUCUCUUAUCUUUCUUGUUCCUUGUCAUAUUGAGGACCGUAGGGGCUUUCUGUAUGCACAUUUUGGUUUGCUUCCUCUUCGAGAUGUUCUUGGCCGCUGGAGGGUUUCCUAUGGGUUCCGGAACUGCGGUGUGGGUGGUGCCGGGUUCUCGUUGGCUUGUUCUCUCCUGAGCAUUGGCUCCAACGUUUAUGGUGUUGUGCUUUGCAGGUUCGGAUUCUUUUACCAGUUUAGAUAUUAAUGUUUAGAUAUUUUCAUCAUAUGGGAUGAGGAUAAGGCAGUGGGGCCCUUAGAGAAUGCCUUCACCUUACAAAGUU
rnacentral:lncRNA from 1 species